UACGUAGGGUGCAAGCGUUAAUCGGAAUUACUGGGCGUAAAGCGUGCGCAGGCGGUUAUGUAAGACAGAUGUGAAAUCCCCGGGCUCAACCUGGGAACUGCAUUUGUGACUGCAUAGCUAGAGUACGGUAGAGGGGGGAUGGAAUUCCGCGUGUAGCAGUGAAAUGCGUAGAUAUCUGGAGGAACACCGGUGGCGAAGGCGGCAUUCUGGACCGACAUUGACGCUGAGGAGCGAAAGCCAGGGGAGCAAACGGG
rnacentral:rRNA from 1 species